rnacentral:tRNA from 1 species
UCUCCUAUAGCUCAGUGGUAGAGCACUGGUCUCGUAAACCAGGGGUCGGGAGUUCAAUCCUCACAGGGAGGU